rnacentral:rRNA from 1 species
UACGUAGGUGGCAAGCGUUAUCCGAAUUUAUUGGGCGUAAAGGGAACGCAGGCGGUCUUUUAAGUCUGAUGUGAAAGCCUUCGGCUUAACCGGAGUAGUGCAUUGGAAACUGGGAGACUUGAGUGCAGAAGAGGAGAGUGGAACUCCAUGUGUAGCGGUGAAAUGCGUAGAUAUAUGGAAGAACACCAGUGGCGAAAGCGGCUCUCUGGUCUGUAACUGACGCUGAGGUUCGAAAGCGUGGGUAGCAAACAGG